AUUGAACGCUGGCGGCAUGCUUUACACAUGCAAGUCGAACGGCAACACGCCCUUGGGUGUUGCGGCGAGGCGCACGGGGGUGUAUAGUACAGCAACACAUCCAGAGGAGGGGGGUAUAGCAGCGAGAGAUGCGGAUUUAUCGCACGUGAUACGUGGAGGAGAAAGGGGGGGAGAUUCGGACUGUUUGGUCUUGCAGCUUCCGAUGGCCGAUUAGCGAGUUGGUGGGGUAAAGGCCUACCAAGGCGACGAUCCGUAGCUGGUCUGAGAGGACGACCAGCCACACUGGGACUGAGACACGGCCCAGACUCCUACGGGAGGCAGCAGUGGGGAAUUUUGGACAAUGGGCGCAAGCCUGAUCCAGCAAUGCCGCGUGUGGGAAGAAGGCCUUCGGGUUGUAAACCGCUUUUGGCAGGAACGAAACGGUGUGCGCUAAUACCGCGCGCUAAUGACGGUACCUGCAGAAUAAGCACCGGCUAACUACGUG
rnacentral:rRNA from 1 species